UACGGAGGGAGCUAGCGUUGUUCGGAAUUACUGGGCGUAAAGCGUGUGUAGGCGGCCACGUAAGUCGGAUGUGAAAGCCCCAGGCUCAACCUGGGAAGUGCACUCGAUACUGCGUGGCUUGAGUAUCGGAGAGGUUGGUGGAAUUCUCGGUGUAGAGGUGAAAUUCGUAGAUAUCGGGAGGAACACCGGUGGCGAAGGCGGCGAUCUGGGUAGAUACUGACGCUGAGGUGCGAAAGCGUGGGGAGCAAACAGG
rnacentral:rRNA from 1 species